UACGUAGGUGGCAAGCGUUAUCCGGAAUUACUGGGCGUAAAGCGUGCGUAGACGGUUAUUUAAGUCGGAUGUGAAAGCCCCUGGCUCAACUGGGGAAGUGCACCCGAAACUGGAUAGCUUGAGUGCGAAAGAGGGUCGCGGAAUUCCAGGUGUAGCGGUGAAAUGCGUAGAUAUCUACAGGAACUCCGGUGGCGAAGGCGGCGUGCUGGAUCUCUUCUGACGCUGAGGCGCGAAAGCUAGGGGAGCAAACGGG
rnacentral:rRNA from 1 species